AUCACUCUCACUCUCAUUCUCACUCUCACCACAACACUUUUUGUCCUACCCCCAACCAUUUCUUUCUGUUUGGGCGAAACCGUUUCUCUCAUUCCUCUCACGCGCUCGUUCAUCAGCAUAAACCUUCUCUCUCCCACUCUUUCACAAUCACUCUCACUCAACCGAAUAAACUUUUCUCUCCCUCUUUCUUGCCCUAGCUCUCCCUCACUCUCACUCAAACAGAGAGGAAGGUUCCCACUCUCUCUCUAAGCACUCUCACGCGCUCGUUCAUCAGCAUAAACCUUCUCUCGCCCACUCUUUCACAAUCACUCUCACCCAACCGAAUAAACUUUUCUCUCCCUCUUUCUUGCCCUAGCUCUCCCUCACUCUCACUCAAACAGAGAGGAAGGUUCCCACUCUCUCUCUAAGCACUCUCACUCAAACAGAUAGGAAGGUUCUCGCUCUCUCUAAACACUCUCCAUCAAACAGAGAUGAAUGUUCUCGGCCUCGCUCUUUCUUUAAACACUUCAUUUUUUUUUAUUUCAUCUAGAGUAAUUUAUUCUCAUAGAAACUUCUACCAUGAAAGACGAUCUUCUGACAUUUUAGAUUAAGUCUUGCGUGAAACUCCACAAUGGUCUUGAAGCACUCCUAGAAGACGCAUAAGAAAAGGAAACACUACAAUGUCUGCCGCAGCUAUGUGUGUGGGAGCAGGAAAUAUUCAUGCCCCAAUGGAGGUGCAAGGAGUGGCGCACAUGUUAGAGCACAUGCUCUUCAUGGGGAGUAAAAAAUUUCCUGAAAUAAAUGAGGUUUGUUCGAUAAACUCAAAUAAUUAAUUGAGAU